UACGUAGGGUGCAAGCGUUAAUCGGAAUUACUGGGCGUAAAGCGUGCGCAGGCGGUUAUGUAAGACAGUUGUGAAAUCCCCGGGCUCAACCUGGGAGCUGCAUCUGUGACUGCAUAGCUAGAGUACGGUAGAGGGGGAUGGAAUUCCGCGUGUAGCAGUGAAAUGCGUAGAUAUGCGGAGGAACACCGGUGGCGAAGGCAAUCCCCUGGACCUGUACUGACGCUCAUGCACGAAAGCGUGGGGAGCAAACAGG
rnacentral:rRNA from 1 species